GCGGGGAGGGCCGCAGCGGCCUCUUUCCGUCCUGGCGGGGCACAUGGCGCCUCUCCCAGUCCUGCUGGUUCCCGCUGAGGAGGGUCCUUCCCAGCAGGGCCCGCGCCACCCCGACCACCGGCCGCUGGCCUUUCCCCGCGCCAUGUUGUGGCGAAGCUCCUUGAGGCCUGGCCCUGAUGGCGGCGGCCGCUCCCGCCGCUCCUCUCGUCUCCCCCGUCGCUGAAGGAGGGAAGGCUGCGGCGUGAGGAGGUGGCUACGGCCCGGCAGGGUCCCCCCUCCCGUGCUGGGGGGGAUGGAAGGCGGGAUGGAGCCUGGCAGAAGACAAAGGGUGAAGCGAAAAAGAUCGUGCAUCUUGAAAAAUCAAGGGAAGCCCUGUGACGUGGUGGGCCCAGGAGGUCUCAAGACCCGAGUUACUUUUGAGAACGGGAGUGAGUUCUGGAAAACUUGCUUCAGAUGUUGAAGGAUAUUAAGAAGACUUUGGACAGGUCCAAGACAAACCUGAUGUAAUUCAUGGAUCCACUGAAGGUGUUGCCUCUGAACUUAAAAGCAAUUUUCUGACCCCCCCAGCUGCAGUGCCUUAGCUCAGAGUGACCUGGAGGCUGGAUGAUUGUGCCAUGAUUUCUAGAAUUUCCAGCAAACGUGGCUACAGCAGAAGGAAUGGUUAGUGGUGCCUGUGUUUGAAGAUUCCUGUUUUGGUUCUGAAUGUUCUCUGCACCCUGGGCACUCAAAUGUAGACUGUAUUUAUGUAUAAUAUAAAAAAUUAACAGCUGUUCUGCUCCGAGUGUCUGUCCUGCUUUUGCUGAGCUCCUGAGUAGUCGGGGGAGCUGUAACCCUGCCCUUCC